AGUGACGGAACAAUUACUCACUGAAAAAAGAAGAAAAGCAAAAAAACAAAAACAAAACAAACAAACAAAAAAAAAAAAAACAUAACGGCCAUUGCAUCGAGAAUCUGACGGGGAAAAAAAGCAUUUGACGAAAACACCAAAAGAGGGACUUUAAUGUAUUAUGCAAGCAAACGCAAUCAAGGGUCCGUCGAGUGCGAAGCCCAAGGACUGAGGAUUUGCGAGUGCGUACGCGCCCGUCACAUCAGUGAAAAGUGAAAAGGCAACCUUCAAGGAUUGACUCGAAUAUCUGCCUCAGCGAUACUUCAUCAGGGCUGCACAGGCGGCAGGAAUUGAAGCUGCCACUUUCCAGUUGAGAGAUGACAACUUGAGCCCAGCUGCCUCUUUAGAAGCAGAAACACAUAUUUGGACUCUUUAUGCUUAUGCAGAAAAUGCAUUUUCCAUUAUGGAGUGCUCACUCCCAUCGGCUGUAAUAGAAAGAAGAAAAAAAAACUCCUUUAUCGUAUUUUAUUUUC